ensembl:lncRNA
GAAACGCUGUGUGCGCGCGAAUCCAUCUGCUAACACUUUGCUUGUAGCAUGUCUUUACUGUAGUUUGCUUUAUCCCCAAGGCCUUGAGAAUCGGGAAUCAAACACACAAGAAGGCAUUAAGGAUGCAUUUGAUGAGGAAAUGAAACAUUCAGAGGCCCUGUCUCUUUUCCUGGCAGAGUGUGACGCUGAUGAAUGGCUUUCAGGCAGCCCAGAGAAGCAUAAUUAAGAUUCCAUCAGGAUAAAGGCUUGGUGUACCUGCUCCCUGCCUGGCCCCCUGCUCUUUGUCACUCACAGCUCCUCCGGUUACGGCUCGGCCUCUCCAGGGGCCUCAGGGACCUGGCCUAAAUUGGUUUCAGAAGCACUGCGGACAGCAUCGUGAGCCUGAGUUAGCAGACUAACCCCUCUGAAACCCUCUGACUCUCGGCCUCCCAAAGCCUCCCUGCCUUUGAAGUUCCUUAUGACUUUCCUUCCUCACCCCCAAACCACUUUAGUUCAACCCCAUCACCCCGGUCCUCACCACAGCCCCCUCUUCUUG